rnacentral:antisense_RNA from 1 species
CAGACCUCCGGGAGUGGUGGGCAGCAACUGUGCAAGGCCUGGUUCAAAAAUCUCACAGCAGUUGUUUGCAGAGUUGUCCCUCCUGUGUACUCUCAAAGCCCCAGAAUGAAGCAAAGCAUCCUCAGUUUUCAAACUGGCGCUCUUCCCCAACCUUGAGGACCACUAGGCACUUUGUUUUUAAAGCCACAGUUACUUUUAUGGAGAAGUAUUGUGAAAAAAGGGAGGCAUCUGAGGAGCGGAAACAGAGAAAUGAGUGACUGAGAUCAGUGUCUUAUUUUGACCAUCUUUUCCAAGUGCUGCAUCCUCCCAAACACAGCAUGAACUCAACACUUAAUAAAGCUGCAGUCUACGUG